UAGGUCCGAAUUCUGGCUCUCGAAAUCAUCAUCUCUUCUACAUGUGAACGCGGCAAUGAUAAAGGCUUCCUCUUCGUAUUCUCAUGGUACAAGUGAAUGCGGCGAUGAUGAAGCACUGGAAAGUCUGCAGGACAGAGUUUCAUUUCUAAAGCUGGGAACGGAUCUGAGUUCUUAGGAGUAUAUCAACAAGGAUUUGUAUGUGUAGACCCUUAUUGAAUCUUGAGCUAUAAAGACAAUACCAUGUUGAUGUUAUUCUUUUCAUACUCCUGUCUGAUAUCAUCAGUAUGACUGGAGACAUACAUGAAGAAGCUGAGAGUUAUAACCGCUUGCUUGACAAAGUGGUAGUUACAAUGGAAGAAGACUCACGAGUCUGCACAGGAAACUGAUGUCGUUGUGACAACCCUCUUGAAAUUGGAGCCACCUGUGUUGCCAAUACAAUCAUGGAUGAGAUGGGUUUAGGUUGUUUUUCCAUUUUUCUGAGUUUCCUCCCAUUAAAUAUGUGCGGUAAUUGAUAUGAAAUUAUGUGAACUUUACAGGAACAUUGGAGAAAACAAGCUUUCUGGCACUCCAACUAAUCCAUUGAUGCCAUAUAAGUUCCUGGAAGCACUUGCUGUUAUUUUUAGAAAAUAUUUAAUCAACUUUGUUAUGUAAUAUUAAAAUCUUUUUAUUGUUCCAGUACUUAUUUAUUGUUAAUAAAAUGAUAAGUUUAUAUAGGAACACAUAAAAAUCCUUUAUUAAAUUAUUUACUGAAA